AUUGGGUAAAAUGGUGGGUCAAACGUCCAUUUUACGGCCGUAUUGUUGGGUCUUUAGUCGAUUGUCGGGUCCCAAAGUCGAUUAUCGGGCACUUGGACCCGACAGUUGAAGACCCACUUAAAAAAAGGCUGCUUAACAUACUCAUGACUAUUUUUAAAUUCAAAUUUGCAUGUGUAAUUUUACUCGAAUUGUCGGGCCUAUAUCUCCCAUUAGCACACAUUAGGUCAAACUCCACACAGCAGUUACUUCCCUUGGGCAUUCGCCAAUCAUUAAUGUCUUUUUCUAGAAUAAGGGAGGCCACUGCGUAUGAGAUUGACCAACCUCGGCGCAGUGAUUUACCGGGAACCAGCAUAGCAACGAACGACAACUCGGCGCCCGACAACUCUGUAAUAAAAAUUGCCAAUUUUCGCGGUUAAACUUAAAAAGAGUCCAUGUCAACUGCUGACAGUGAAGAGCCAGGCAGUCUGACCCAUGAUAGGAGGGAGCCAAGUGAAGAGCCAGCCAGUCUGACCCAUGAUAGGAGGGAGCCAAGUGAAGAGCCAGCCAGUCUGACCCAUGAUUCUUGACAUGACUCAUGGUGAACUAAAAUUGCUUGCAAAGCAUCUGGGACAUGAUGUGAAGACCCACAAGGAAUAUUAUCAGUUGUCUUCCAGUACCAUGGAACUCUCAAAGGU